rnacentral:rRNA from 1 species
UCCGUAGGGGGCAAGCGUUGUCCGGAAUCAUUGGGCGUAAAGAGCGCGUAGGCGGUCCGGUAAGUCCGCUCUGAAAGUCCGGGGCUCAACCCCGGGAGGCGGGCGGAUACUGUCGGGCUAGAGUCCGGAAGAGGCGAGUGGAAUUCCUGGUGUAGCGGUGAAAUGCGCAGAUAUCAGGAGGAACACCAAUGGCGAAGGCAGCUCGCUGGGACGGUACUGACGCUGAGGCGCGAAAGCGUGGGGAGCAAACAGG